rnacentral:rRNA from 1 species
GUGGGGAAUAUUGGACAAUGGGCGAAAGCCUGAUCCAGCCAUGCCGCGUGUGUGAAGAAGGUCUUCGGAUUGUAAAGCACUUUAAGUUGGGAGGAAGGGCAGUAAGUUAAUACCUUGCUGUUUUGACGUUACCGACAGAAUAAGCACCGGCUAACUUCGUGCCAGCAGCCGCGGUAAUACGAAGGGUGCAAGCGUUAAUCGGCAUUACUGGGCGUAAAGCGCGCGUAGGUGGUUUUGUAAGUUGGAGGUGAAAUCCCCGGGCUCAACCUGGGAACUGCCUCGAAAACUGCAUGACUAGAGUACGGUAGAGGGUAGUGGAAUUUCCUGGGUAGCGGUGAAAUGCGUAGAUAUAGGAAGGAACACCGGUGGCGAAGGCGACUACCUGGACUGAUACUGACACUGAGGUGCGAAAGCGUGGGGAGCAAACAGGAUUAGAAACCCUGGUAGUCC